rnacentral:tRNA from 1 species
GGCUGGAUAGUUUGGGGGUAUGAUUCUCGCUUAGGGUGCGAGAGGUCCCAGGUUCGAAUCCCGGUUCGGCCC